CCUACGGGUGGCAGCAGUAGGGAAUAUUGCUCAAUGGGGGAAACCCUGAAGCAGCAACGCCGCGUGGAGGAUGAAGGUUUUAGGAUUUUAAACUCCUUUUGUUCGAGAAGCUAAUGACGGUAUCUAACGAAUUAGCACAGGGUAACUCCGUGCAAGGAGCCGCGGUGAUACGGAGGGUGCAGGCGUUACUCGGAAUCACUGGGCGUAAAGCGGGCGUAGGCGGGAUAGCAAGUCAGAAGGUAAAUCCUAUGGCUUAACCAUAUAACUGCAUUUGAAACUGGUUUUCUUGCGUAUGGGAGAGGUAUGUGGAAUGCGUGGUGUAGCGGUAAAAUGCAUAGAUAUCAAGAAGAAUACUGAUUGCGAAGGCAGCCUGCUAGAGCAUAACUGACGCUGAUGCGCGAAAGCGUGGGGAGCGAACAGGAUUAGAUACCCGAGUAGUC
rnacentral:rRNA from 1 species